rnacentral:rRNA from 1 species
AUUGAACGCUGGCGGCAGGCUUAACACAUGCAAGUCGAGCGGAGAGAGGUAGCUUGCUACCGAUCUUAACGGCGGACGGGUGAGUAAUGCUUAGGAAUCUGCCUAUUAGUGGGGGACAACAUUUCGAAAGGAAUGCUAAUACCGCAUACGUCCUACGGGAGAAAGCAGGGGAUCUUCGGACCUUGCGCUAAUAGCUGAGCCUAAGUCGGAUUAGCUAGUUGGUGGGGUAAAGGACUACCAAGGCGCCGAUCUGUAGCGGGUCUGAGAGGAUGAUCUGCCACACUGGGACUGAGACACGGCCCAGACUCCUACGGGAGGCAGCAGUGGGGAAUAUUGGACAAUGGGCGCAAGCCUGAUCCAGCCAUGCCGCGUGUGUGAAGAAGGCCUUAUGGUUGUAAAGCACUUUAAGCGAGGAGGAGGCUACUGAAGUUAAUACCUUCAGAUAGUGGACGUUACUCGCAGAAUAAGCACCGGCUAACUCUGUGCCAGCCGCCGCAGUAAUAC